AUGAUGGGACGGCUGAAAGGAAGAAGACUGACAAAGGCGUUGUCGCAGAGUGCUCGCCGCUUCCGCAUUCAGUUUUCAGUUCUAACAAUUUCAAGUGUGAUGGUAUAUAAGGACACGGAUACAUUUCUGAGGGAGGUCAUGAUCAAUGAAACGGCGGUAGUUAGGCUCAUGUCAAAGAAUGCAUUUUUGAUACGGAUUGCCCGUUUAACCAAAAUUGUUCCGGUUUACGCCCCCCACCCCCACCCACACACACAUUUUAACCAAUCCCGUGCUAUGGUUUACCUUUUCAAAUUUUCUAAACAAUCCGCCAAGGUGGUCCCACAUGUCAGGGCCCAUGAGAGACUGCUCCAGCGCAUCGAAUAUACUACCGAGUCUCCGCUCAACAAUGACAAACCAAUGGGUGUGCCGGUAGCAAUUAUUUCCUUCAUUUAUCUUGAUAAGACACAAGCAACAUUUUCGGUAUCUCUGAACUACAUGGGAAUGGUGACGCUAGGAUGGUGCUUCGAGGCAAAGCCGACCAAAUCUUUUUUUGGUCAUGCCGUCACUUCUUUACAUGCUGGCUGCCACGGCGCAGGCCCAGGCCCAUGCCUAGGAAGGGAGACAAAUCUAACCCAGACUGCCCGCACGCCGCUUGUUGUCCAGGUAACCCUAGCUCCCAAACCUCUUCUCGGCUCCAGCAGCCAUGGCGGGAUCUUUGACGGCCACCUCCUUCAACCCCCCGCCGCCGAUCCCGCCAGCGCCAAUCCCUCCCGCUACCCCUUCUGGGUUCUCCUCGACAGCAGAGCCUACUUGGCCGACCGCGACAACUCCACCACCGUGAAGGGCACGACGAGCACGGGCCAAGAAUUCAAGGUGACCUUCUGCCUCGCCGACCCGCCUGCCGUCUCCUACUUGUGCGUCCACUUUACCGGAGUCAGCGUACAAGAGUGUUGCACCACGGAGCCCCGCGUCGUCUCCUCCGCCAAUGACCUCGUCCUCCUCUGCUUCGCAUUCAGGUCCGGCCCACCGAGCAGGAGCACAGACGAUGACUCCCCCCAUCACCUCGAGUACUUCGUCUACAAGGCUGCCCCCGGCGGCAAGCACUCCAUCCGACGGGUCCCUCGUUCUCCUCCAGACUACAUGCACACGUUGCACGCGGCCGUCGUGCCACGCGAGGGCGAUAAUUUCUUGGUCGCCGAUAUUUCCCCGAAUGGCGACCUCGGGCACUACAACCUGCACGUCUUCUCGUUGGAGACAGGCGAGUGGAGCACCAAACAUGUGCAACUGAAGGUGCCUGUCAAUGUCCUGCCACGGGACCUGCCAAGCCAAACCGACAAGGUGAUCCCCCUCGGAGUAAGCACUGUUGGAUGGGUCGAUCUCUGGCGCAGCAUCGUCGUCUGUGAUGUGCUUCAAAAGGAUCCUGCUCUCCGCUUUCUCCCGCUGCCCAAGGCUGAUUUCGACCUGCGCCGGGAAAGUCGAGCACGACAAGUGCGGGACGUCAUUGGCUUCCCUGAUGGUUUCAUCAACUUCGUCGAGAUCGAAAACUGUGUCAGAUGGUUCACCGUUGUCAGAAAGAGCACUUUGAAGACGGCCAGCAUUUUUGACGUUGUAGAUACCAUCUCUGAUGUGAAGCUCCUCAGCCAUGAUGAUGAUGUGGACGACGUUACGGAUGACAGUCGUCCUGUGCGGCAUGCACCUGCUGGCUGGAAGAUACGGACAAUGCUUAGGAGCAUUUUUUGGGACCUAUGGCACAGGAGCCACGCUGUCCAUGUUGACCACAUAUCGCCGUACCCGCCUGAACCCUCUCAGCUGAUGCAUCAUCUAUGGAAUGAUAGAGACAGGAAAUGGACAUUGAAAAACUUGAAGAAGACCACUGGCUUCCCGACCUUCAGUGUUUACGGUGGUAAUGUUGUCUACCUCGUGUCUAAGCUGGAGUACUCUCAGGAUGAAGACACAUUGCUUGUUAGUGUUGAUAUUGGAAAGAGGAAGCUGGAAGCCAUCAAACAAUAUUGUUGCGGCAGAUCCAUUUCUUUCGAUCCCAUUCCGCUUGGUGCUGUUCAAAUGGUAGAGAAUCGGGAAGUCACCGAACCAUAUUGUGGUGGGAGAUCCACUGCUUUCAAUCCUAUUUCCUGUGCAUUCUCCGAAUAUAUGAAUACCACUCCAAGUCCAAGGCAUGGUUUUUGCUUUGCUCUGUUUUCUAUUCUGUUAACUUGCAUGCAAACUCAAAGUAUUUGCCAAGCUAACUAA
rnacentral:rRNA from 1 species